CUGUUUUGUAGAUCUGAUUUAAGAGGUCCGUCUAUACAAAUACUAAACAUCCACUGAGUAAAAGUCUACCUGUGUAUGACUAUGUGUCAUAUGUAGCCUCUUUUUAUUGAACAGGAGUUGUGGAAAUGUAGAUUUUUGCCAUUACUUACCUCUCAGAGUUGUUUUGUAUCAUAAGCAAAAUCCACUCGAGAAAAUCAUAAGAUUAUGAGAUGGAAUUUCUGGACAAUACUUACCUUCAGGAGGCAAAAUGUUUAGGAAGCCCUACUGCUAAUAGACACACAUAAUAGUACACGACACUGUUUUAGUUUUCAAAAUUAUUAGUCCCUUCGUCGUGGAGGAGAGACAGGUAGGGCAUUCCCGAAGCUAUAGUAGUGUCUACUGGCACUACCAACUAUUUUGCUUCCUGCUAGCAAUUCUGUUUCAUAUGUUUAUAGUUUUCUCAAGCUAUCUUUUUUUUUUUACAUCUGAUGGAUUUUUUUACCAUCUUGGAGUUUGUUGUAUAGUGAAAGUGUAGUUCACUAGAUAUCUCACAAUCUUUUAAGGUGAUUGUGAAUAUUUUUUCUCAAGUUUUCCUUCCAGAUUUCUUGUGUCUUAAGAAACAAUAUUGCUUCUGAGAUGUAAGUACAAACUACCAGUGGUAUGUUGAACAUUUUAAACAAAGGCAUACAUGAAUUUCAAAUAUUAUUUCCAGUAAUGAUUCAAUCUGAAACAGUCACAUGCUCAGUAGAAGAAUGCAAGUUCGCAAGCUUUGAUGCUGUACUGUGUUUGAUCUCCAGUUUGUUUACAUAUCUGCUGCUCAAUGCCUCCACUAUUUGAUCAGUGACUAUCCUUACUCAUUUUGCUACUCUAGGAUUUUACAGUGUUGUGCUAAAACAUGAGACAGAAAGAGAGAAAUGUAACACAUCUGUCUGUGGAAUAAUGAAUUUCUUUGCUUAGCUUCCGCCUCCAAUAAAUGUUGCUGUAGAACUAUUGAUGUCCUGAAUGUUAAAUGUUUCCCCAUAGUAUAAUCAUCUUGCUGUAUGAUUUCCUCACAUGUUGAUGUAAUCUUUAGAUCACCUAAAUAUAUCCUGAGCAAGAGAUAGUAUAGACAAACUAGUGACUAGUAGAAAGAGAGAGAAAUGGGGAUGAGGGAACAAAAAGAAAAGGGGGAAAAAACAGGAACAAAAUGUUCCUCCAAAGAGUCUAGUUCAUAUUGCUGUAACUUUUUAUUUGCUUUAGUAUGAAUGUAAUUUAAGCCAUUUGCUCAUAGAAUGUGUAGUUUAUGUCUCCCGAAAAAAAGUGAACAUAAGUAAACACUGGUAUAUUAUGAAGAUAAAAGUAGUUUAAAUGUAUAAUAUUUUGGCACAUACUACAUGCCCAUGCAUUUUCAUGUAUUGCAUGUGAAUUCCAAUAUCAAUGUAUUGUCAGCACUGAAAUAACUGAAUGGUCUAUUUAAGUCACUAAACACAACAUUCUCUCAAAAAAUAUAAAUGUUAAAAAAGAGAAAGAAAAGAAACAGAGAUAGAUGAAUUAGCAAUUAACUGUUAUAUAUAAGUCUUUGAAUAAUGCAUGUUUUUCCUUAAUUUUUUCCACCAGUGAAUGUAUUUUCAUGUUUAACAUGUUGGUGUUUUAACUAUUGAUGUUACAUAAUCAUUGACGUAUAUUCACUUUAAAAGAACAUUCUGUGAAAAUGUAGUAAAUGUUAUGUGUUUCCCCCUUGUACACUCUUUCCAACCUUUGGUCUCCUCAGGUGUUGAUCCUAUCAAAAGACACAAGAAGUUAUAAAUCUAAAAGUUUCAUCAGCGUUGUAGGGAAGUUCUGGCAGAAUGAGAGUGUAAAUACUUCAGAGUGAAGGAGACCACUCACUGAAAAACAGAAGUGUUGAGUCACUAGCAAGUUUUUUUUCUGUUCUCUGUGUGCCUGUCAAAGACUCAACACUUCUGCUUUUUAAUGGGUGGUUUUCUUAACUUCAAAGUAUUUACAGAAAUGUGUCUUCAGUGAGGCAAACUAAAUAAGAGAGAGCUAUAAUGAACUGUGUAGCAGAAAAAGAAAAGAAUGUAACUGAGCAGUUGUGUAUAUUAUUGCAGUAAGUUCAAAUCAAAUGCUUUAACUUCUCAUUGGUCUGAACACUGAUAUUAGUUACUAUGUUGAGUAACAAAAUGUGUGGUUCAUGCCUCAUGCAAACAUUUGUAAUUUUGUGAACAUAAGGAAAUUACAAUGUUAUUGUCGCUGAGUAGUAUAUGUUAUUGAGCUUUUGAAUCUGUCACAUGCCAGUUUAGUGCUUAUGUGGCAUUUGUGUUCGUGAUGAUGUAGCCUAAUCUCGGUAAUAACUGAGUCAUCGAUCAAUGUCAUCAAGCAGUCAGUCACAAUACUCAUGUAUGUGAAACGGAAAAGCAGAAAUGGUAAUUAUCUUUAAUGCAUUAGUUUUUGAAAAAUACAUUUUUCCCCCAUAGACAGUGCCACCAGUGAGUGCAUUUUUCACAUCUGUUGAAGAAGUCUAUAUUCAAGAGAUGCUAUUACAUAAUGAAUGAGCAGUGGUUGUCUGUAGGGGGAAAAGAAAUAAUAAUAAAAAAAAUUAAUAACUUGUUCAGGAGAAAAAGCUAUCAAUGUUACGUGUAAUCUCUUGCGGCCUAUGAUCUUGGCCUUUUGUCACAUUAAAUAUUAAUAUUACCGGUACCUAAUGACGUAAGAACUGACUGACCUGAAUAUAUGUUCUGUGAGGAAAAAAGUGAGAGAGACAGAGGAAUAAAUGGCAACAGAAAUACAUAUAUUAUUAAAAGAAAAUUUGCAAAGAAUCUCCUCUUACCAAAUAUCACAGCUUUUUUUAGAAACUCCUCUUAGUAUUUGUGUUGAAAAAUGUUGCAUAUUAACACUUCUAAGUACGAUAGUUGGCAAAGUCUUGUCCACUGUUGCCUCCUAUCCAACAGUGAAGGAUUCUGUCAAGUAUUAUUUGUACCUCACUUGACUCCUGUGCUAGUCUCUAUGCUUUAAUGGGUUUUUAACUUUUUUCUGGAGGAAAAAGUGUUUUCUCCACAAUAGGCCAUUUACCUUAUUGGGAGAAGUUUAACAAUCGCUUCAACAUUUAUUUUGCAGAAUGUAACUGUGCAUACAUUUAGAAUCAAUUCAUGUAUUGCAAGAAUAAAACUUUGUUCGCACCUGUCGGUCAAAUUCCUUGUAUAUGAAAGUGAGAACAACACCCAGGAUGAGUGUCAUUGUCUUCAUACACAAAAGCAUUUGUCUUGUGUGUGCAGACAAAUUCCUGUUUAUACAUAGCAUGAAUUGGUUUUAAAUGUCCCAAUACACUUGUCGUUGAUGUACAUCUCCUUUUGAAGGCCUACAUUGACUAGUAUUGCAAAGUAAAUGUUGAAGUAAAAGUUCAAAUACAUUAUGACUAUGUACCUGAUUGUGAAUAAACUAAUAAGUGUUUAAUUUUUAUUGACAGUUUUAUGGUAACUGAAUAACUAAGUGAUUUAAGCUACAUAAGUUGUAUAUUCAUUAAAGAGGCAAUGUUGAUUUGGGGCAAUAUUUUACCUAGUCUCUCCAAAUGUCUUUGAGAUCUUCCCAGUGUAUAUUGAAUCCCUGUAGCAUAUUAGUGUUGAAUUAUUUAUGUUAUCAAAUAAAAAUGGCAUAAUAUUUGCUAGUGAUACUCAAACAAACUACCAAAGAAACCUUAAUUUGUGUGUAUGAUAGUGACUAUGUAGUAACUGCCAGUCCCUUGUCUUCCUUCCACAGCCUCUAUAUAUUUUUGUGAUGGAAUAGUGUAUUGAAGGUUAGGUAGCAAUGAAAUGUUAAAGCCAUGGCAAAAGAAGUGUGGUGCUCAUAUUCUAGUCAGUGAAAAUAUUGCUUGUCCCUUUUCUUUUCAGAAGCUGCCUGUACCUUCUUGUACUGAUUUUUCUUACAUAUUGUGUUAACUUAAUGUGCAUUUCACCAUGUGUGAAAAAAUUGAUCAUCCAAUAGGAGAUAAUGUGACAUGGCUGGUUGGUGAUAUUCUGCUCACUUUGUAUUUUGGUUUUCUAUCUGACAGAAUUUCUGCAUAGUGUUAUAUGUUUUUAUUGCAUUGUUAGAAGACCACUAUUAACCUUGAACGAAACACAAAAAGUGCCCAUUUAGACAAAAACAUGAAAAUUAAUUUAUGAUGAUAUUUUACUAAUUUUAUAACCUAACUUCAUAACCAGUCAGCUGAUGCAUGAAAGUAUACUGCUUUUUGUCAAUGUAAUGCAUAAAUAAAUUGUCGAGCAAAAUGAAACCAAAAGAAAAAGCCUAAUCUCUGAUUAUAUUGUAAUCACUGAAUAGCAUAUCACUCGCAAGAUUUUUUACUUUUCAGUCAUUAUGUAUAGUAAGUUCUGUUAUGUGGGCAUUGUGAUAACUGAUGACAAAUCAAUCCAGUUCAUUGAACUGCUCACUCAGAAAAAGAGAGAGAGAGAGAGAGAGAGAGAGAGAGAGACGAAAAAGUAAGUGUAUUUUCUGAUGAUGAUCUACUUAAUUAAUACUGUGUGUUCCUUCCUUGUCUUUCACCACCUAUCUGUGUAUUUUUGUGACUAUUUAGAAGCUGAAAUAAAUGUUUUGUGUGAUGCAUAUA